UCCCAGUUAGUACAAUGGUCUAGUAUAUGGCUUUUUCAUGAUCUUGCGUGAUCGUCAAGUGAGCAGCUAAGAUCGGGGUUCGAUUCCCCGGCCGGGAA